UACGGGGGGGGCUAGCGUUGCUCGGAAUCACUGGGCGUAAAGCGCACGUAGGCGGAUUGUUAAGUCAGGGGUGAAAUCCUGGAGCUCAACUCCAGAACUGCCUUUGAUACUGGCGAUCUUGAGUCCGGGAGAGGUGAGUGGAACUGCGAGUGUAGAGGUGAAAUUCGUAGAUAUUCGCAAGAACACCAGUGGCGAAGGCGGCUCACUGGCCCGGUACUGACGCUGAGGUGCGAAAGCGUGGGGAGCAAACAGG
rnacentral:rRNA from 1 species